UACGGUAAAGAUACGUACGCCUUUCUAUCGCGGGCGUAUAAUCUCAGGUUUGACGCCAAAUAUGGAAACGGUACAUACGUUCAACGCCAUCUGCAUAUGUUCCUGUUCCGGUCUCUUCCCGCUUGCUCGGUAAUCGAUGGAGUAAGAGAUUUCAACGUGUUAUCAAAUCGAAGCAGCGUUCUUCGCAGUAUUCUUCGCAGUGUUCUCUCUUCGCAGAGUUCUUCGCAGUAUUCUUCGCAGUGUUCUCUCUUCGCAGAAUUCUUCACAGGAUUCUUCGCAUGUUCUAUACAGUGUUCUUCGCAGAGUUCUUCGCAGAGUUCUUCGUAGAGUUCUUCGUAGGGUUCUUUGCAAGGUUCUUCACAGAAUUCAUGUUUAAAUUUAUUGAGACAAAUAGUCUCAAACAAAGUUGCUGUAUUAUAUAAUUGGCAUGGUGCCAAAAAAAAAAGAAUUUUUCCCAGCUGAACUUGUGUCAAGUAAUAUUAACUAUUGUAAGAAACGCGCAUGAAGCAGCAAAGGAUGAGCACAUAUCUAAUACAAUAAAAGUAUGGUUAGCUCACGCUAAAGAGCGUAUUGAUAGAGAGAAAGAAAAAAAAAAGAAAAAUUCAGAGGGAUCGAAACGAUCCUCCGGAAGAACUAGAAGAGCCCUCUGACUGAAUGUGAUAAUUAUCUUGUCAACGUAUUUAAAUAAGACACGUUAGCGCAAGAGCCAAAGAUUACAAUUAAGAAUUUUGCUUUUUUCAAAUUUUGUUCGAGUUAUGAUGAAAAUCUUUAUUUUGAGAGUUA